rnacentral:rRNA from 1 species
GACGAACGCUGGCGGCGUGCCUAAUACAUGCAAGUUGAGCGCUGAAGGUUGGUACUUGUACCGACUGGAUGAGCAGCGAACGGGUGAGUAACGCGUGGGGAAUCUGCCUUUGAGCGGGGGACAACAUUUGGAAACGAAUGCUAAUACCGCAUAAAAACUUUAAACACAAGUUUUAAGUUUGAAAGAUGCAAUUGCAUCACUCAAAGAUGAUCCCGCGUUGUAUUAGCUAGUUGGUGAGGUAAAGGCUCACCAAGGCGAUGAUACAUAGCCGACCUGAGAGGGUGAUCCGCCCCAUUGGGACUGGAAACCGGCCCAAAAUCCUACCGGAGGCAGCAGUAGGGAAUCUUCGGCAAUGGACGAAAGUCUGAACGAGCAACGCCGCGUGAGUGGAGAAGGUUUUCGGGUCGUAAAACUCUGUUGGUAGAGAAGAACGUUAGUGAGAGUGGAAAGCUCAUCAAGUGACGGUAACUAACCAGAAAGGGACGGCUAACUACGUG